AGGCAAACGAAAAUGACAAAUAUCGACAAUUUGCAGCUAAAUAUUGUGUAAUUAAAAAUUCGCACAUUUCAAUAUAAAUCAAUUGGCAGCUGCCAGUAUAAGACGAAGAAGAAGAAGAGAACAGCGAAAGAAAAUGCCUUUCUCUUAUGGCUACAAAUGUGAGGUUAAAGUUGAUUCUUGGCGCGGUGGCUGAUUCUAAUGACGUUGGUGGAACAAUUGCAAGAAGGAGAGCGCCAAAACUACGUGAAUAUCCGCAAGUGAAUCGAAAUACCGAUCAUAUGCGUGGUUUGGGUUGAGUUGUUUAUAGAAUAUUAUUGAUAUUAUUUAAAAUAUUGAACAAUAAAUUAGUAUUAAAUAUUUUAAAAAAUUUUUA